ACGAAGGGGACUAGCGUUGUUCGGAAUUACUGGGCGUAAAGCGCACGUAGGCGGAUUUGUAAGUCAGGGGUGAAAUCCCGGGGCUCAACCUCGGAACUGCCUUUGAUACUGCAAAUCUCGAGUCCGAUAGAGGUGGGUGGAAUUCCUAGUGUAGAGGUGAAAUUCGUAGAUAUUAGGAAGAACACCGGUGGCGAAGGCGGCCCACUGGAUCGGUACUGACGCUGAGGUGCGAAAGCGUGGGGAGCAAACAGG
rnacentral:rRNA from 1 species